rnacentral:lncRNA from 10 species
AAAAGAAGUGUAAAUGGCCGGUCCUUGCCUUAAGUGAUGACAUUACCUUGUGAAAGUCCUUUUCCUGGCUCAUCCUGGCUCAGAAAGCACCCCCACUGAGCACCUUGUGACCCCCACUCCUGCCCGCCAGAGAACAAACCCCCUUUGACUGUAAUUUUCCUUUACCUACCCAAAUCCUAUAAAACGGCCCCACCCUUAUCUCCCUUCGCUGACUCUCUUUUCGGACUCAGCCCGCCUGCACCCAGGUGAAAUAAACAGCCGUGUUGCUCACACAAAUCCUGUUUGGUGGUCUCUUCACACAGACGUGCAUGAAAUUUGGUGCCGUGACUCGGAUUGGGGGACCUCCCUUGGGAGAUCAAUCCCCUGUACUCCUGUUCUUUGCUCCGUGAGAAAGAUCCACCUACGACCUCAGGUCCUCAGACCGACCAGCCCAAGGAACAUCUCACCAAUUUUAAAUCAGGUAAGCGGCCUCUUCUUACUCUCUUCUCCAACCUCUCUCACUGUCCCUCAACCACUUUCUCCUUUCCACUCUUCAAUCUCUCCCUUCUCUUAAUUUCAAUUCCUUUCAUUUUCUGGGAGAGACAAAGCAGACACGUUUUAUCGGUGGACCCAGAACUCCGGCGCCAGUCACGGACUGGGAAGGCAGCCUUAGCCUUCCCUUGGUGUUUAAUCAUUGCAGGGACACCUCUCUGAUUAUACACCCACGUUUCAAGGGUGUCAGACCACGCAGGGACGCCUGCCUUUGUCCUUCACCCUUAGCGGCAAGUCCCGCUUUUCUGGGGAAGGGGCAAGUACCCCAACCCCUUCUCUCCUUGUCUCUACCCCUUCUCUGCUUUUCUGGGAGAGGGGCAAGUACCACUCAACCCCUUCUCCUUCACCCUUAGUGGCAAGUCCCGCUUUUCUACGGGGCAAGAACCCCCAAUCCCUUAUUUCCACACCCCGACCUCUUAUCUCUGUGUCCCAAUCCCUUAUUUCCGUGCCCCGACCUCGUAUCUCUGCACCCCAAUCCCUUAUUUCCGCGCCCCAACCUCUUAAUAUCUCUGCGCCCCAAUCCCUUAUUUCCGCACCCCGACCUCUUAUCUCUGUGUCCCAAUCCCUUAUUUCCGUGCCCCGACCUCGUAUCUCUGCGCCCCAAUCCCUUAUUUCCGUGCCCCAACCUCUUAAUAUCUCUGCGCCCCAAUCCCUUAUUUCCGCACCCUGACCUCUUAUCUCUGUGUCCCAAUCCCUUAUUUCCGCACCCCGACCUCUUAUCUCUGCACCCAAUCCCUUAUUUCCGCACCCCGACCUCUUAUCUCUGUGUCCCAAUCCCUUAUUUUCGUGCCCCGACCUCGUAUCUCUGCACCCCAAUCCCUUAUUUCCGCGCCCCAACCUCUUAAUAUCUCUGCGCCCCAAUCCCUUAUUUCCGCACCCCGACCUCUUAUCUCUGCGCCCCAACCCCUUUUCCCACUUUUCUGGAAGGUAAGAACCCCCGAACCCCUUCCCUCUGUUUCUCUACUCUCUUUUCUCUAGGCUUGCUUCCUUCACUAUGGGCAACUUUCCACCCUCCAUUCCUCCUUCUACUCCCUUGGCCUGUGUUCUCAAAAACUUAAAACCUCUUCAACUCACACCUGACCUAAAACCUAAAUGCCUUAUUUUCUGCAAUGCCGCUUGACCCCAGUACAAACUCGACAGUAAUUCCAAAUAGCCAGAAAAUGGCACUUUGAAUUUUUCCAUCCUGCAAAAUCUAAAUAAUUCUUGUCGUAAAAUAGGCAAACGGUCUGAGGUGCCUGACGUCCAGGCAUUCUUUUACACAUCAGUCCCUUCCUAGUCUCUGUGCCCAGUGCAACUCGUGCCAAAUCUUCCUUCUUUCCCUCCCGCCUGUCCCCUCAGUACCAACCCCAAGUGUCGCUGAGUCUUUCUAAUCUUCCUUUUCUACAGACCCAUCUGACCUCUCCCUUCCUCCCCAGCCUGCUUGCUCCUCGCCAGGCCGAGCUAGGUGCCAAUUCUUCCUCAGCCUCCGCUCCUCCACCCUAUAAUCUUUUUAUCACCUCCCCUCCUCACACCUGGUCCGGCUUUCAGUUUCGUUCCGUGACUAGCCCUCCCCCUCCUGCCCAGCAAUUUACUCUUAAAAAGGUGGCUGGAGCUAAAAGCACAGUCAAGGUUAAUGCUCCUUUUUCUUUAUCCCAAAUCGGAUAGCGUUUAGGCUCUUUUUCAUCGAAUAUAAAAAUCCAGCCCAGUUCAUGACUUGUUUGGCAGCAACCCUGAGACACUUUACAGCCCUAGACCCUAAAAGGUCAAAAGGCCGUCUUAUUCUCAAAAUACAUUUUAUUGCCCAAUCUGCUCCCGACAUUAAAUAAAACUCCAAAAAUUAAAUUCCGGCUCUCAAACCCCACAACAGGAUUUAAUUAACCUCGCCUUCAAGGUGUACCAUAAUAGAAAAAAGUUGCAAUUCCUUGCCUCCACUGUGAGACAAACCCCAGCCACAUCUCCAGCACAUAAGAACUUCCAAAUGCCUGAACUGCAGCGGCCAGGCGUUCCUCCAGAACCUCCUCCCACAGGAGCUUGCUACACUUGCUGGAAAUCUGGCCACUGGGCCAAGGAAUGCCCGCAGCCCGGGAUUCCUCCUAAGCCGCGUCCCGUCUGUGUGGGACCCCACUGAAAAUCGGACUGUUCAACUCACCUGGCAGCCACUCCCAGAGCCCCUGGAACUCUGGCCCAAGGCUCUCUGACUGACUCCUUCCCAGAUCUUCUCGGCUUAGCGGCUGAAGACUCACACUGCCUGAUUGCCUCGGAAGCCCCCUAGACCAUCACGGAUGCCGAGCUUCGGGUAACUCUCACAGUGGAAGGUAAGCCCGUCCCCUUCUUAAUCAAUACGGGGGCUACCCACUCCACAUUACCUUCUUUCCAAGGGCCUGUUUCCCUUGCCUCCAUAACUGUUGUGGGUAUUGACGGCCAGGCUUCUAAACCUCUUAAAACUCCCCAACUCUGGUGCCAACUUGGACAAUACUCUUUUAAGCACUCCUUUUUAGUUAUCCCCACCUGCCCAGUUCCCUUAUUAGGCUGAGACACUUUAACUAAAUUAUCUGCUUCCCUGACUAUUCCUGGACUACAGCUAUAUCUCAUUGCCGCCCUUCUUCCCAAUCCAAAGCCUCCUUUGCGUCCUCAUCUUGUAUCCCCCCCCACCUUAACCCACAAGUAUAAGACACCUCUACUCCCUCCUUGGCGACCGAUCAUGCACCCCUUACCAUCUCAUUAAAACCUAAUCACCCUUACCCCACUCAACACCAAUAUCCCAUCCCGCAGCAUGCUUUAAAAAGAUUAAAGCCUGUUAUCACUUGCCUGCUACAGCAUGGCCUUUUAAAGCUUAUAAACUCUCCUUACAAUUCCCCCAUUUUACCUGUCCUAAAACCAGACAAGCCUUACAAGUUAGUUCAGGAUCUGCGCCUUAUCAACCAAAUUGUUUUGCCUAUCCACCCCGUGGUGCCAAACCCAUAUAACUCUCCUAUCCUCAAUACCUGCCUCUACAACCCAUUAUUCUGUUCUGGAUCUCAAACAUGCUUUCUUUACUAUUCCUUUGCACCCUUAAUCCCAGCCUCUCUUCGCUUUCACUUGGACUGACCCUGACACCCAUCAAGCUCAGCAAAUUACCUAGGCUGUACUGCUGCAAAGCUUCACAGACAGCCCCCAUUACUUCCAUCAAGCCCAAGUUUCUUCCUCAUCUGUUACCUAUCUCGGCAUAAUUCUCAUAAAAACACACGUGCUCUCCCUGCCAAUCGUGUCCGACUGAUCUCUCAAACCCCAACCGCUUCUACAAAACAACAACUCCUUUCCUUCCUGGGCAUGGUUGGAUACUUUCGCCUUUGGAUACCUGGUUUUGCCAUCCUAACAAAACCAUUAUAUAAACUCACAAAAGGAAACCUAGCUGACCCCAUAGAUCCUAAAUCCUUUCCCCACUCCUCUUUCCAUUCCUUGAAGACAGCUUUAGAAACUGCCCCCACUCUAGCUCUCCCUGACUCAUCCCAACCCUUUUCAUUACACACAGCCGAAGUGCAGGGCUGUGUGGUCGGAAUUCUUACAUAAGGACCAGGAUUGCGUCCUGUAGGCUUUUUGUCCAAACAACUUGACCUUACUGUUUUAGGCUGGCCAUCAUGUCUCCGUGCAGCCGCUGCUGCUGCCCUAAUACUUUGAGGCCCUCAAAAUCACAAACUAUGCUCAACUCACUCUCUACAGUUCUCAUAACUUCCAAAAUCUAUUUUCUUCCUCAUACCUGACGCAUAUACUUUCUGCUUCCCGGCUCCUUCAGCUGUACUCACUCUUUGUUGAGUCUCCCACAAUUACCGUUGUUCCUGACCCAGACUUCAAUCUGGCCUCCCACAUUAUUCCUGAUACCACACCUGACCCCCAUGACUGUAUCUCUCUGAUCCACCUGACAUUCACCCCAGUUCCCCAAAUUUCCUUCUUUUCUGUUCCUCACCCUGAUCACGCUUGAUUUAUUGAUGGUGGGUCCACCAGGCCUAAUCGCCACACACCAGCAAAGGCAGGUUAUGCUAUAGUAUAAGCCACUAGCCCGCCUCUUAGAACCUCUCAUUUCCUUUCCAUUGUGGAAAUCUAUCCUCAAGGAAAUAACUUCUCAGUGUUCCAUCUGCUAUUCUACUACUCCUCAGGGAUUAUUCAGGACCCCUCCCUUCCCUACACAUCAGGCUCGAGGAUUUGCCCCACCCAGGACUGGCAAAUUAGCUUUACUCAACAUGCCCCGAGUCAGAUAACUAAAACACCUCUUAGUCUAGGUAGAUACUUUCAGUGGAUAGGUAGAGGCCUUUCCUACAGGGUCUGAGAAGGCCACUGCAGGCAUUUCUUCCCUUCUGUCAGACUUAAUUCCUCAGUUUAGCCUCCCACCUCAAUACAGUCUGAUAACAGACGAGCCUUUAUUAGUCAAAUCAGCCAAGCAGUUUUUCAGGCUCUUAGUAUUCAGUGAAACCUUUAUAUCCCUUACGGUCCUCCGUCUUCAAGAAAAGUAGGACUAAAGGUCUUUUAAAAAAACACACCUCACCAAGCUCAGCCACCAACUUAAAAAGGACUGGACAAUACUUUUACCACUUUCCCUUCUCAGAAUUCAGGCCUGUCCUCGGACUGCUACAGGGUACAGCCCAUUUAAGCUCCUAUAUAGACGCUCCUUUUUAUUAGGCCCCAGUAUCAUUCCAGACACCAGACCAACUUAGACUGUGCCCCCAAAAAACUUGUCAUCCCUACUAUCUUCUGUCUAGUCAUACUCCUAUUCACCGUUCUCAACUACUCAUACAUGCCCUGCUCUUGUUUACACUGCCGGUUUACACUGUUUCUCCAAGCCAUCACAGCUGAUAUCUCCUGGUGCUAUCCCCAAACUGCCACUCUUAACUCUUGAAGUAAAUAAAUAAUCUUUGCUGGCAGGACUAUGCUGAAUCUCCUUAGGCACUCUCUAAUCAGAUAUCCUGAGUCAUCCCAAUUCUUAGACCUUUUAUACCUGUUUUUCUCCUUCUGUUAUUCCAUUUCGUUUCUCAAUUCACCCAAAACCGUAUCCAGGCCAUCACCAAUCAUUCUAUACGACAAGUGUUUCUUCUAACACCCCCACAAUAUCACCCCUUACCACAAGACCUCCCUUCAGCUUAAUCUCUCCCACUCUAGGUUCCCACGCCACCCCUAAUCCCGCUUGAAGCAGCCCUGAGAAACAUCGCCCAUUCUCUCUCUCCAUACCACCCCCAAAAAUUUUUGCCGCCCCAACACUUCAACACUAUUUUGUUUUAUUUUUCUUAUUAAUAUAAGAAGGCAGGAAUGUCAGGCCUCUGAGCCCAAGCCAAGCCAUCGCAUCCCCUGUGAUCUGCACCUAUACACCCAGAUGGCCUGAAGUAACUAAAGAAUCACAAAAGAAGUGAAUAUGCCCUGCCCCACCUUAACUGAUGACAUUCCACCACAAAAGAAGUGUAAAUGGCCGGCCCUUGCCUUAAGUGAUGAGAUUACCUUGUGAAAGUCCUUUUCCUAGCUCAAAAAGCACCCCCACUGAGCACCUUGUGACCCCCCACUCCUGCCCGCCAGAGAACAAACCCCCUUUGACUGUAAUUUUCCUUUACCUACCCAAAUCCUAUAAAACGGCCCCUCCCUUAUCUCCCUUCGCUGACUCUCUUUUCGGACUCAGCCCGCCUGCACCCAGGUGAAAUAAACAGCCGUGUUGCUCACACAAAUCCUGUUUGGUGGUCUCUUCACACAGACACGCAUGAAACGGAUCACUCACAACAUAGCCCUUGCUGGAGAUGUGUUCACAAUCCUAAAAACUCCAUGAGAAAGCCAACUACCAUUAGGAAAGUCAACAGACACAGCUAACAGAAAAAUUAGCAUUCUCCAAAACUCAAAAAAAUAGAAUUGAGACUAUAAAAUAUGGUUAAAAUGAUUCAUAAAAAGAAUAAAAACUAUAAUAAAAAAUUAUGAAAAAGAUAAAUUUGAGAAAGAAUCAAAGACAACUUCAGAAACAAAAAAAUGAAGCCUAAAAAGUUCAAUGGCUGGAAUAAACAGAUAAGACAGGGCUGAGAACAGAAUCAGUGAGAUAAAUACGAAGGAGUUAACUGAGAAUAUAGUGUGGAGAAACCUAAAAUACAUGAAACAGGACAGGUUCAACACAGGUAUAAAAGAAACCCCAGAAGGAAAGAACAGACAGUGGGGAUGAGAUAAUACUCAACAAAAUAAGAACAUCCAAAAUUUUCUUAAUGAAGAACACAGAGAUAAGACCUGAACAAGAGGAAUAAAAAUAAAUCCAUAUCUAGGCGUGGUGGUGUGCACCUGUAAUCCCAACUACUCAGGAGGCUGAGGCAGGAGAAUCGCUUGAACCUGGGAGACAGAGGUUGCAGUGAGCGGAGAUUGCACCAUUGCACUCCAGCCUGGGCAACAACAGCGAGACUCUGUCUCAAAAAAAUAAAUAAAAUAAAAUAAAAUAAUAAAAUAAAUCCAUACCUAAACAGAGGUGAAAACAAACACUGAAGACAAAACAAGGGGAAAAUGUGAAUCAUGCUUGUUAUCAAAUAAAUAAUCCAAAAAUGUAUAUAUAUGCUGUAUGCCUAACAUCAAUUUCAUGCGGAGAUGCUGAUUUUAAUACACAGGAUGGCAGCGUGCCCUCUAGCUCACUCACAUUCUGCGGGAAUGGGUUUAGGUGCAGCUCAAUUUCAGAAAACCUCAAUUUAGUCCAAAGUUUGUCAGUCUAAACAGACUCAGGAAUCUACUACUGCCACACAUCCAGGGGCAACAAACUGUUUAUGUUGAGCCCUGCAUUUGUACUCUCAAUUUCCCCAGCAUACACACUAUUCUACUAUGUUACAACUGCCAAUUUUUCUUAAUGCCCAAAUUAAUUCAAGUGUUGGCUUUUAUAACCUAAUUUAUCCAGCAAUAAAAGCACCUAGAAUGUAUUUUGAUGACAAGAACCCCAUCUUGUGGCAAAAUGUUUCACAGCUGAGUUUGGCUGUGUACUGUAAUGCCAUUCCCACUCUGAAGAUAAAUCUGCGUUGAGAAGUUAUCAUUUUAUCUGCUUUACCAGACAGAAUUUCUAACCCAGCAUUUAUCUUGUGUCUGCGACGGCACCAAAGUAUGCAGUAAAUCUGCGGAACACAGUAAUUCUGGGGCUUUGUGAGUUAUUUUCAAGUGAAAGCUGGUAGUCUUUGUGCAGCUUACUGCAGGAAUAUUUUAAGAGAAAAACAAACACUGACUAGGGUUAGCUUCUGAAAUAUUAUCUGUCCAUUCUAGGAAGAGUUCAGAUAUUGCACUUCCUAUAAGAUGAACUCACUUAACUAAAGCAAUCAAGACAAAACCUCCCCAAAUCCACACGAAUUGACACCAUAAUUAGCACCAUACAUAAUAAAGCUACCCCACACACAGCACAUUCGUAUUUCAUAGCAUUCAUGUUAUUUUUCUAAAAGGUGGCUUUUAAUCAAUUUCUCGGCCCUUCCUAUUUUAAAAGACAGUAGAAUUACAUUCUAAAAUAUUCUUCCCAUUUUUUCUUUUACUAGGAAUGUCCAGCAUGGGAAACAUGACAAAAUGCUCUCUACGAAUACAAAAACAUUAGCCGGACAUGGUGGUGUGUGCCUGUAGUCCCAGCUACUUGGGAGGCAGAGCCCAGGAGAGGUCAAGGCUGCAGUGAGCUAAGACCGUGCCAUUGCACUACAGCCUGGGCAACAGAGUGAGAUUCUGUCUUUAAAAAAAAAAAAAAAAAAAAAGGAAUGUCUUCCUCAAUGUUUUCUACUGUUCCUAUUUGGUUUUCCUGAAGAAAUUUUAAAAGGCCUUAUUGUUAAUAAGCUAAAAAAUGUAAUGAAGCAUUGAGCAUGAUAUCUGGCUCAAAAACAUUAGUUAUUAUUAUUGCUUUUAUUAUUGUUGUUAUUAAUGACAAUUAAAUACUGAAAGACCCCCAAAAUAGCUUAUCUUCCACAACUGGCAAAGCCUUAAAGAAAAAUCCAGUUCAAAGAAGUCAAAUUAUAUUUUUAUCAAAAGCAAAACUGAAACAAUACUUUUCUCCCCUCAAAAUCUGUUUUUAAAGCGUUAAAAAGGACAGUAUAUCAAUAUUAAAA